UACGGGAGGGGGCUAGCGUUGUUCGGAAUUACUGGGCGUAAAGCGCACGUAGGCGGCUUUGCAAGUCGAGUGUGAAAUCCCCAGGCUCAACCUGGGAACUGCAUUCGAGACUGCAUAGCUAGAGUAUGGGAGAGGGAAGUGGAAUUUCAGGUGUAGCGGUGAAAUGCGUAGAUAUCUGAAGGAACAUCAGUGGCGAAAGCGACUUCCUGGACCAAUACUGACGCUCAUGUGCGGAAGCGUGGGGGAGCAAACAGG
rnacentral:rRNA from 1 species